UACGAAGGGGGCUAGCGUUGUUCGGAAUUACUGGGCGUAAAGCGUGCGCAGGCGGCUUCUCAAGUCAGGGGUGAAAGCCCAGAGCUCAACUCUGGAAUUGCCUUUGAGACUGAGUGGCUUGAGUACGAGAGAGGUGAGUGGAAUUCCCAGUGUAGAGGUGAAAUUCGAUAGAUAUUGGGAAGAACACCGGUGGCGAAGGCGGCUCACUGGCUCGUAACUGACGCUCAUGCACGACAGCGUGGGGAUCAAACAGG
rnacentral:rRNA from 1 species